GCGUUGGUAGUGCAGCGGGUUAGAGCACACGCUCUCGGGUAGAGUUGGAUGUGGGUUGGAGUCCCGCCUGGCGCC